GAUGAACGCUGGCGGUAUGCUUAACACAUGCAAGUCGAACGGACUCUUCGGAGUUAGUGGCGGACGGGUGAGUAGCGCGUGAGAAUCUGGCUUUGGGUUCGGGACAACCACUGGAAACGGUGGCUAAUACAGGAUGUGCCGAGAGGUAAAAGAGAAAUUGCCUGAAGAUGAGCUCGCGUCUGAUUAGCUAGUUGGUGAGGUAAGGGCUCACCAGGGCAGCGAUCAGUAGCUGGUCUGAGAGGAUGACCAGCCACACUGGGACUGAGACACGGCCCAGACUCCUACGGGAGGCAGCAGUGGGGAAUUUUCCGCAAUGGGCGAAAGCCUGACGGAGCAGUACCGCGUGAGGGAAGAAGGCUCUUGGGUUGUAAACCUCUUUUCUUAGGGAAGAACAAAAUGACGGUACCUAAGGAAUCAGCAUCGGCUAACUCCGUG
rnacentral:rRNA from 1 species